UGCAAAUUCGUUCUCCUCCUUGACUCCUUCCUCUUUGCCAUAAAAAACACAUGGAUGCCCAGAUUUUUAGUAGCAUUGUUGGUGGGUGCAGAGGCGUUAGCAGCCUCACCCUCAAUUGCCUGCUCCUAAAUGACUCGUUGUUGGUGGUUUUUUUGGGCAAGCAUCUCCAAGAACUGAACUUGCUGUGCUGCUCCUUGAUGUUGUAUCAAGUCCUUGCUCAUGUAAUUCGUGUUGUUUUGUGAGUUGGAUUUGUGCUUUUAAGCAUUAUUGAAGUUUCUGCCUUGCUUAAUUUGAGAUAUGAAGCAUAAAGGUUUUGUUUUUGUUUUUGUAUUUGAUUGCUAUGUAGUUUGGAUUGUUCAUUGGCUUUGUGUUUUGCAACAAUUUUCGUGUUGAGUGGGUGAUGUUGAGGUAAAUAAGAGUUACUGGAUUAGGUAAUUGUGGUUAAAUUUUGAGUGUGCCGGCCGGUUGGAUUGAUUUUUGGGUGAAAUGUGUUGAAACGUAGGUAGAAGCAAUCGAUUUAACAAGUAGGGGCGCUUUUCUUGUUGAUUAUUGCAGCUGUUCUUUUAAGUUUCGGGGAAGGGUGGAGCAAAAGGGCUGGUGGUGGCAAUUCUGACCAGAUAUUGUUUAAUGCAUGGGCUUAUUCCUGUGUUGGUUGCGUCUGUGCUUCCGGUUUGGCAUCCUAGCUCUCUGUGUCAGUGGGCUUCCCAGUUAGCGAAAUGUUUCUGUUUCUGUGCUUUGAAGGAGCUAUUUAAGAAGUUCUUUCUCGUUUCUUGAUAUAGUUGUCUCCUUUUUGUGUUACAGGUUAAGAAGCACUCGUCAUACUUGAUGACUGUAGACUUGUAGAGAUAUCUAUUGUUGGAAGUUUGUGCUUGUUGGUUAGUACCGCUAAGUCUCCCGAUGGAGAAGCUAUUAGAAAACAUGGACUUUUCUAUUGAUGGACUCUAUGACUUGGACAAUGAAACUGCAGAUCACUUGUUUGGCAUUUGUCCCUUUACCAAGGAAGUCUGGAACUUGAUGAAUCUGGCUAAUGCCCAGAACUGGAAUGUGGUUACGUAGAGGUCUUCAAGACCCUAUUCCUCAGGAAAAAUUAUGAUAAACAUCUGUUUAUGAAAAUGCUUGCUGCUUGCUGGCAGAUCUGGAAGGCAAGGAAUGACUGUUGCUUUCGCAAUAUUAGAUCCCAUCCUAAUUCUAUUGUUAUUGCAGCAGCUGCUACGCUAAAAAGCUAUUCAGAAUGCAACCAGACUAACUCAGGAGAAGCAAUUCAAAACAACCCAAUGGUGAUCAAAUGGCACCCUCCUCCUGAAGGUAAAAUCAAAAUCAAUUUUGAUGGCUCUGUUUCAAGCUCAAAAGCAGCUUGUGGAUUUAUAUGUAGAGACACCAAUGGUAACCUAACAACGGCGGUGUCCAAGAAGAUCGGUACCAACACUGUGCCAACUGCUGAGGUGAUAGCCUUAAGAGACAGUCUCUGGAUGGCUGCACAAAAAGGCUACAAGAAUGUACAAGUUGAAGGAGAUUCCAAGUUAGUGAUCGAUGCAGUGAAUGGCAAAAUAUCACCACCCUGGAGACUUGCACAAAUUAUCAAUGAUAUAAGGAAGAUCAUCUGCAACUUUGAUUCCAUUUCCUUCAGUCAUAUAUAUAGGGAAGCGAACUUUGCCGCUGAUGCAUGUGCAAACCUUGGACACAACUACGCUAUGGAAAAAGUGUGGGAGAAACACUUGCAUCCCAACAUUUCAAGAGCAAUGUUAUUUGAUAGGCUAGGAUCAGGGUGCACUAGAGGCACUUCUCUGUAACUUUGUUGUAGUUUUCUUAUCAAAAAAAAAAAGGUUUUUGAGAGCAUAGAGCAUGCGUUCUGUUCUGCUGGCUUAUCUUUUAUCUCUUUAAUUCUAGAUCUGCAAAGGGGAAGGAAGGAGACAUCAAAUGGUCUUGAAGAAAAUGAUGUUCGAUUAGCUUUACAAGAGACUAGUAUUUAUCUGGCUUUUGAUUUGUUUGUGUUUGUUAAAU